AACAACAGAGUUCUGUCUUUUCAACGUCUAAAAAAAACAGACAGAGGAGAAUAUUCCUGUAAUAUCAGCAACUCCAUGGAAGCUAAACACGUCUUGGUUGUGAACUACGGACCAGAACACGCUCAAAUCAAAGGCCAGCAUCACAUAUCUUUGGGAGACACCUUCACAUUAACCUGUGAGGCCGAGUCUGAACCACCUGCAAACUUCACCUGGUUACUGAAUGGGACAGAGAUACUCAAUUCUCCUGAGUACACUAAAAAGAACGCUGAAGCGUCCGACAGUGGAAACUACAUCUGUCAAGCAAAGAA